CUACUCCUCACUUAAUUACCCUAAUUAGCUAGUUAUAUUCCCUUAUAUUUAUGUUUCCCCAUUUACUGAAGCUUUCCACAGGCCAGGAACUGAGAUCCAGGGGAGGACCCUGAGGGUAGGACAAGCAUGAGCACUGAAGGCUACAAUGGCACAGGCACCAACAGACCAUGUGGGGUGCAGGAAGCCUCAUCUCUAGAGUGUCUUCCUGGUUUACCAUACGCUUUCUUCCCUUCCCUUAUUGGAGUCACCUUGUGCUGACUUUGAUAGCCUGUGUCCCUGAAACAUGCACUCUCACACACACACCUGACCCACACCUAUCCACAUGUGUGUGCCUGAAACAUGCACUCCCACACACACAAUCUGACCCACACCUAUCCACAUGUACCUGCCCAUACAUACACAGACCUUUCUGUGUAUCCCCCAGAGCUACAAAUGCCAAUCUUGAGAAUGAAGAUUUUGCAAGCUGUCUGUGCCAGGCAUGAUGCCAGGUCCCUGACAACACAAGACCCCUCUGGUUUCUCCCACUCAGCUGUGCAAGGUUCGGGGUUGAGGAGCUCCCCCUGCCAAGGUCACAGACGUGGAACAUGAGGUAACAGCUAUUUGAAUGUAAGCCUGUAGGUCACCAAAACAUAAGCCAUCUGCACCGCACCACACUGCCUCCAAAGCACAUGAAGCCAUGAGUCUAUCAACUGUGACUCAUUAGUAGCCAGUAACAUUUCCUCCUCCACUUCGCUUCCCACUGUCACUCCAGUAUCUCUGCCCACAGUCCCAGAGCCACCUCUGCUUAACGGGGAGGUCAGGACAGAUGCUCCAUUCCACCUGAUGCCAUCUUCGUCCUGGGUCCAGCAGAUCUGGCAGGAAUGAGGAACGGGAAGCUCAUGGGUAAAGGCUGCAGCCAGGCAGGGAAAGGCCUCACUCUCCCUGCCACUCCUUUCCCUGCUCCCCACUUUCCUGUCCCAUCUUUGCUAAUAGGCUCAGCAUCUCCAACUGCACCCACCCACUAGAUUUGCCCCAAUUCCUCCUCCUCUCUCAUGCCUGAGGCCUAGGUGGCUUCCAGAGCUGACCAGGUCUACUUUAGAAUUUUAAUGAGAUAAUCUGGGUAGAAGUGCUGGUGCCCUCCCAGCCACAGCAGGUACUCCUCAUAUGGUAAACUGGAACUGUCUUCUCAGUUCCUACAGCCGUGGGUUCAAAUUCUCCCUAAUCU
rnacentral:lncRNA from 1 species